rnacentral:rRNA from 1 species
UACGGAGGGGGCGAGCGUUAUUCGGAAUUAUUGGGCGUAAAGGGCGCGUAGGCGGCUUGAUGUGUCAAAGGUGAAAUCCCUCGGCUCAACUGAGGAACUGCCUUUGAAACUGUCUGGCUUGAGGCCGGGAGAGGGUAGCGGAAUUCCCAGUGUAGCGGUGAAAUGCGUAGAUAUCUGGAGGAACACCGGUGGCGAAGGCGGCAUCCUGGACCAACACUGACGCUGAGGAGCGAAAGCCAGGGGAGCAAACGGG